rnacentral:rRNA from 1 species
UAUUUGUUACAAUUGGGGAAACCCUGAUCCAGCCAUCCCGCGUGUAUGAUGAAGGNCUNNGGGUUNUNAAGUUCUUUUGGCGGNNNNNAAAAGGUAUCCCCUAAUACGGGAUACUGCUGACGGUAUCUGCAGAAUAAGCACCGGUUAUCUACGUGCCAGCAGCCGCGGUAAUACGUAGAGUGCAAGCGUUAAUCGGACUUAUCGGGCGUAAAGCGUGUGUAGGCGGUACGGAAAGACAGAUGUGAAAUCCCAGGGCUCAACCUUGGAACUGCAUUUUUAACUGCCGAGCUAGAGUAUGUCAGAGGGGGGUAGAAUUCCACGUGUAGCAGUGAAAUGCGUAGAUAUGUGGAGGAAUACCGAUGGCGAAGGCAGCCCCCUGGGAUAAUACUGACGCUCAGACACGAAAGCGUGGGGAGCAAACAGG